rnacentral:rRNA from 1 species
UACGUAGGGUGCGAGCGUUGUCCGGAAUUAUUGGGCGUAAAGAGCUUGUAGGUGGCUCGUCGCGUCGGGAGUGAAAACCCGCGGCUUAACCGCGGGCCUGCAGUCGAUACGGGCAGACUGGAGUUCGGCAGGGGAGACUGGAAUUCCUGGUGUAGCGGUGAAAUGCGCAGAUAUCAGGAGGAACACCGGUGGCGAAGGCGGGUCUCUGGGCCGAUACUGACGCUGAGGAGCGAAAGCGUGGGGAGCGAACAGG